UACGUAGGGUGCAAGCGUUGUCCGGAAUUAUUGGGCGUAAAGAGCUCGUAGGCGGUCUGUCGCGUCUGCUGUGAAAACUCAGGGCUUAACCCUGAGUUUGCAGUGGGUACGGGCAGACUAGAGUGCGGUAGGGGAGACUGGAAUUCCUGGUGUAGCGGUGAAAUGCGCAGAUAUCAGGAGGAACACCGGUGGCGAAGGCGGGUC
rnacentral:rRNA from 1 species